AAAAAGUAUUUCCACUUUUCUCCAAUUUGGCAAGGAACGUCCACCAGGAACGUCCAUCAGGAACGCCCACCAGGAACGCCCACCAGGAACGCCUACCAGGAACGCCCUAGAGACAGUCUGCAGUCACACAUUUUCUCUUUUCGCGCGCUAAUCUCAUCCGUUACUAAUCCAAACUAGUAACCUCGACGUGGCCCGCUAGCUAGAUGUAAAUAUUGACUAAUUGGAAAUGUAUCACACAUGUUAUGGAGACAAGUUGCUUCUCUGAUAUCGACAAUGACUCGGCGUCAAUUGUUGGUGAUUCUGAAGGAGAAGAAGAAACAAAUCUUUACCUGGACAGAUUGAUGCUUGCAGAUUUGCUAGACUCGCCCUACUCAUAUAAUUUGUCCACACCACACACCAUCAAUGGCUGUACAGACGGGUUUUCUCCUCAGAUAGCGAUGUUGACUUGUAGACGUUUGGAUGGCUUGGACCAAGUGCGUCUCACACCUGAAAAGAUCCAAUCCCCAUUUUUGUCAAGGAGUUCUGGGAAUCCAGAUGACGAGAAGGAAUGGACGGUGUUAUCGCUCAAGGACAUGAUGGAGAAGACAGUGAGGGGAUGAUAGAAGAGGAUCCCUCUGAGGGGUCGGUGUCAGAGAGUCCCUCACAGCACGUUGGGAGUGGUACCUCUACCAGACGUUUGAAGAGAGCAACGACGGUAGCUAAGACACAGGUAGAUAACAGUAGUUAAGACCCCUUCACACAGGAAGGGUACACAGUGGACCCUUGGACAUAAUCCUAAAAAAUGUUCCCCAGGGUGGCGGUGGUUGUGACCUCUCACAGAAGGAGAUAGGUGCAGAGCCCAAGAGACAGACCAGGCUGACUGACAGUCAGACACAGGGGAGUAGACAGACCAGACCAAUGGAAGAAAUCAGACCAACCAGACAGAAUGACAACCAGGCACAGGAGAACAAACAGGUAAAGGGAGUGAACAUCCUGAACGCUUUCCUUUUUGCGUAAAAACACUGCGAGG
rnacentral:lncRNA from 1 species